rnacentral:lncRNA from 1 species
AUGGUGAUGCGAGGCUGCUUUGCUCAGGGAAUUUCAAGGAGCUAUGGCAUGUUUAUGCUAAAAGGCUCUGCUCUUGAAUCCUUCACUCCUUUCUUCUCCUGGCAAUAUGGACAUGAUCCCCCUCCAAGUCUGAGGAUAACCUACACCAUAUUCCAAAGUCUGAACCCACAUCUAAAAAAGAAUUCUUUGCAGUAUCAAGGAAAGAACAAAUAAGCAAUCAAACAGUAAGUUAACACUGGACCCCAAUCUUGUACUUAACAAUUGUAUUGUGCUAGUAGCACCACCACCAUCUCCCUGUACACAAUCUAGUUCAACAUAGAGUCCAUUAGUUCCUCUUGUCUAACAUCUCUCCAUUGGGCUCAUUUGUGAGUUUCAAAUUCAGGGAGGAUUAUUGAAUUAUGACACUUUAUGAAAUUAUUGAGUUCCUAAAGUCAAUCACAAUAGAGACAAUAUCCUCUACAUAAAAAGUUGUUAAAUACCAAGUUUUUGUUUACAAAGUCAAAUUAUCUCAUAGAAAAUGAGGGGCAAAUCUUUAGGAGAUCACUAGAAGCAAACUGUCAGAGGGUUGGCUUUUAAGUUUUUUGUUUAUAUAUUCACCUAUUCUGUUUACUCAACUUCCCAUACUGAAAGAUUGAUUCCAUAUGUUUGAGACCUUAAUUAUAUGCUUAUAUCCUUCUCUGCCAAAUUCACAGGAGUAGCUAUACUUUCAAGUCAUGUUGAAGACCCUCUGAUCCAUCUUUUUGUCUUAUGUGAUAAAUUUAUGCUUUCAUUUUCUUCAACUGGAUUACAUACCCUAAAAAGUUCUCUUCGAGGUAGGAGUUGGCAAAUAAAUUUCCAAUGCAAAAGUAGUAGCUUUUUAUG